GAAUAUUGGACAAUGGGGGGAACCCUGAUCCAGCCAUGCCGCGUGUGUGAAGAAGGCCUUUUGGUUGUAAAGCACUUUAAGCGAGGAGGAGGAGCUCUUGGUUAAUACCCAAGAUGCUUGGACGUUACUCGCAGAAUAAGCACCGGCCAACUCUGUGCCAGCCGCCGCGGUAAUACAGAGGGUGCAAGCGUUAAUCGGAAUUACUGGGCGUAAAGCGCGCGUAGGUGGUCCAGUAAGAUGGGUGUGAAAUCCCCGGGCUCAACCUGGGAACUGCUUUCAUAACUGCUGAGCUAGAGUACGGUAGAGGGUAGUGGAAUUUCCUGUGUAGCGGUGAAAUGCGUAGAUAUAGGAAGGAACACCAGUGGCGAAGGCGACUACCUGGACUGAUACUGACACUGAGGUGCGAAAGCGUGGGGAGCAAACAG
rnacentral:rRNA from 1 species